CUGCCUCGUCCAGUUUGAGGACUUCGCCAAUGUCGAUGCCUUCCAUCUGCUACACAAGUACCUAGACAAGUACUGCAUGUUCAAUGAUGACAUCCAAGUGGGGCAGGGCUCUGAAGAGUUGGUGUUCCAGUAUACAUGGUGAGGUCGUCUUCCCAGGGAAGUCAAGGCACAGCCUCUGUGGUGGCCGGGAUCCUUGCAACUCUGCUGAUCACCAGAAGCCGGCUCUCUAGCCAUGUGUUUGUCUUCCAAGGAGCCGGGGAGGCUGCCCUGGGCAUCGCUCUCCUCCUGGUCAUGGCCCUGGAGAAGGAAGUCGUCCCUGCUGCUGAGGCCACCAAGAAGAUCUGGA